GCUCCGGUAGCUUAAUUUUAAAGCACUGGUCUUGUAAACCAGAGAAUGCAGCUUAGACCCUGCCCGAAGCU
rnacentral:tRNA from 1 species